UCCCUGGUGAUCUAGUGGUUAGGAUUUGGCACUUUCACCUCCACGGCCCAGGUUCAAUUCCUGGUCAGGGAA